GGGGAAUUUUCCGCAAUGGGCGAAAGCCUGACGGAGCAAGACCGCGUGGGGGAUGAAGGUUUGUGGAUUGUAAACCCCUUUUGAUUGGGAAGAAUACUGACGGUACCAAUCGAAUAAGCCUCGGCUAACUCCGUGCCAGCAGCCGCGGUAAUACGGAGGAGGCAAGCGUUAUCCGGAAUUAUUGGGCGUAAAGCGUCCGUAGGUGGUUUAGUAAGUCUGCUGUUAAAGCGCGGGGCUUAACUCCGUAUCGGCAGUGGAAACUACUAGACUAGAGUGUGGUAGGGGUAGAGGGAAUUCCCAGUGUAGCGGUGAAAUGCGUAGAUAUUGGGAAGAACACCGGUGGCGAAAGCGCUCUACUGGGCCAUAACUGACACUGAUGGACGAAAGCUAGGGGAGCGAAAGGGAUUANAUACCCCUGNUAGUC
rnacentral:rRNA from 1 species